ACAGCAGCAGCCGCGGGAAUACGGAGGGAGCUAGCGUUGUUCGGAAUUACUGGGCGUAAAGCGCGCGUAGGCGGUUACUCAAGUCAGAGGUGAAAGCCCGGGGCUCAACCCCGGAACUGCCUUUGAAACUAGGUGACUAGAAUCUUGGAGAGGUCAGUGGAAUUCCGAGUGUAGAGGUGAAAUUCGUAGAUAUUCGGAAGAACACCAGUGGCGAAGGCGACUGACUGGACAAGUAUUGACGCUGAGGUGCGAAAGCGUGGGGAGCAAACAGGAUUAGAUACCCCCGUAGUCCCUGUCUCUUAUAA
rnacentral:rRNA from 1 species